rnacentral:rRNA from 1 species
UACGUAGGGGGCGAGCGUUGUCCGGAUUUAUUGGGCGUAAAGCGCCCGCAGGCGGUGCGCCAAGUGUGGGGUGACAGCGACCGGCUUAACCGGUCGAGUGUCCUACAGACUGGCGCACUUGAGGGCCACAGGAGGAACACAGAAUUCCGGGUGGAGUGGUGAAAUGCGUAGAUAUCCGGAGGAAUACCAAAGGCGAAGGCAGUGUUCUGGGUGGUACCUGACGCUCAGGGGCGAAAGCUAGGGGAGCGAACGGG